rfam:Candidatus Yonathbacteria bacterium RIFCSPHIGHO2_02_FTLL_44_14 rifcsphigho2_02_scaffold_653, whole genome shotgun sequence.
GAGCGUGUGGCGGAAUUGGUAUACGCGUGCGUCUCAGAAGCGCAUGGAGUGAUCCUUGGGGGUUCAAGUCCCCCCACGCCCA